rnacentral:rRNA from 1 species
GAUGAACGCUGGCGGCGUGCCUAAUACAUGCAAGUCGAGCGAACAGACGAGGAGCUUGCUCCUCUGACGUUAGCGGCGGACGGGUGAGUAACACGUGGAUAACCUACCUAUAAGACUGGGAUAACUUCGGGAAACCGGAGCUAAUACCGGAUAAUAUAUUGAACCGCAUGGUUCAAUAGUGAAAGACGGUUUUGCUGUCACUUAUAGAUGGAUCCGCGCCGCAUUAGCUAGUUGGUAAGGUAACGGCUUACCAAGGCAACGAUGCGUAGCCGACCUGAGAGGGUGAUCGGCCACACUGGAACUGAGACACGGUCCAGACUCCUACGGGAGGCAGCAGUAGGGAAUCUUCCGCAAUGGGCGAAAGCCUGACGGAGCAACGCCGCGUGAGUGAUGAAGGUCUUCGGAUCGUAAAGCUCUGUUAUUAGGGAAGAACAGAUGUGUGAGUAACUAUGGACGUCUUGACGGUACCUAAUGAGAAAGCCACGGCUAACUACGUG